rnacentral:rRNA from 1 species
UCGAGAAUCUUCCGCAAUGGGCGAAAGCCUGACGGAGCGACGCCGCGUGCUGGAUGAAGUCUUUCGGGACGUAAACAGCUUUUAUCAAGGAGGAAGUCAUUGACGUUACUUGAGGAAUAAGGGGCUCCAAACUCUGUGCCAGCAGGAGCGGUAAUACAGAGGCCCCAAGCGUUAUCCGGAAUUAUUGGGCGUAAAGGGUGUGUAGGCUGUUGUAUUAGUCUUUUGUUAAAGCUCCCGGCUUAACUGGGAAAAAGCAAAAGAAACGGUAUGACUGGAGGGUGCGAGAGGUGAAUGGAACUCUAGGUGUAGGGGUGAAAUCCGUUGAUAUCUAGGGGAACACCAAAAGCGAAGGCAAUUCACUGGCGCAUUUCUGACGCUGAAACACGAAAGCGUGGGUAGC